CCGGAGGCUAAAAGCUGUGUAUACAGGAACAACGUGUCUUCACUUGCACAUCACCGCAAAAGCAUCAUUGCCCUAAUGUGUAUAUGUGUGUAUAUAUAUAUAUAUAACGCGACGAAUUCGGAUAUAACGUGGUAAAGCAGUGAGUGCUCCGGCGGGGGACACGGACUGCACACUCUGGCAAAUUAAAGCAAGUUCGAUAUAACGCGGUUUCACCUAUAACAUGGUAGUGAUCCACAUUCCUGCUGCCUCUGAAGUAAGAAGUGGAAUAGACAAUACAGCACUUCCCUUAUCUACAAGACUGCUUCGCAGAAAACUGGCUAGUUCAAUGAAAAAUGAAGAUACAGCAGGAGAUUAGAGAAGAACACUGCGCAAAAAAUUCCUGGAGAGAGGGUCACUCCAUUGCAAAUGAUUUCACUCCUCUAGAUCUGCAUAAAUUACUAUUUUUAAGGCAUCUCCAAAGUCUGUAUAUUUUUCUCACUCUGUCAAACAUUUAAUUUCACGCCCCGUGUUCUGAAUAUGCUAAAAUGCAUAUCUCUGAUGCACCUUUAAGCCAGAAAAACGAAUGCAAAAUUGAAGAUAAAAUGAUGUGAUUUGCACUACAAGCCUAUUACUUGAGGUAUUUACAUAUAGUUUACCUCUGCAGUUCUGAGAAUGAUUUAUUAAAAAAAAAAUCUGGAUUAAGCUCAUAUAAAUAUGUAUAAAUCUUUGUUUAGAAAAUAGAUUUUGCAGCGGUUGUGUCAAAAAGUUCUUUAAGAUUCUGUGAAGAAUUUUCCUUUUAGCAUGCUUAAAAAAAUAAAAAUAAAAAGGGACCGUAUUUGACAUUCUGCUUUGGCAGGAAAAUAACCCACCACACACAUUCUGUCAUCCAGGAUUUUUCUAGACUCGUUUUAUUUUACACUUCUCUUCCUAAAACUACCCAUUCAUUUCAUUUGCUGUGAUGCCAAAUAAAGUGAGCACUGGAUUUCCCUAAACUCCACUGAAAUAGUGGCUCAGAUUUUAUUAAAACAAUUUUGUGUCUACGGGGAGAAGGAGAAUGCCAGUUGGUAUGGCAAACUACCGUGAAUUUAUCCUGGUUAGGGUCCCCACCAAAGUGUUCAGGUUGCACUGACACUGGUGCCCAAUGUUUGGAGACAGAUGUAGGAAGCGAGACAUUCGGAUUGUUUUAGGAAUUCUUUUACAUCCUAGGAGCGGCUCAUUUAAACAGCACAGUAAGUAAUAUCUAUUUCUCUUUAAAAAAAAAAAAAAACCCACCCCCGAUACUCCUAAAACGGCAUCUGUCCGAACAAUAACAUGUCACAGCUUUGGCCUCUUCCUGCAACUCCUCCCCACUCUAAUAAUCCGUGCAAAGAAAAUGCUCAGAUCUCUCCCCCUCCCCCAAUUUAUUUUAAGGAUGUGGUUGAAGAUCUCAAAGUUGACUAAAUAAAAGCUGAGAAUGAACUCUGCCCAUGUGCUGGAAUCUAAAUGUUAAGAUCAGUACAAUGCUUCUAGGUUGCGCCUGUAGUGGUAUUGUGAGAACAACUGUCUCUGAAAGCAGGUACAGGGGAAGAGCUAUUACUUCAAAGGCUACAUUAAUCCGUUUGCAAUUAAAAUGCCUGUGUACAAGCAUUGGAUUGCUUUUAGGAGAGAUAGGAGUUUGCUUACAAAGAUUGAAUUAGAGUUCCAGCAUGAUGCUCCUGCUUAGAGUUGUCUAAUGACCA